UACGAAGGGGGCUAGCGUUGCUCGGAAUGACUGGGCGUAAAGGGCGCGUAGGCGGAUGGCACAGUCAGAUGUGAAAUUCCCGGGCUUAACCUGGGGGCUGCAUUUGAUACGUAUUGUCUAGAGUGAGGAAGAGGGUUGUGGAAUUCCCAGUGUAGAGGUGAAAUUCGUAGAUAUUGGGAAGAACACCGGUGGCGAAGGCGGCAACCUGGUCCUUGACUGACGCUGAGGCGCGAAAGCGUGGGGAGCAAACAGG
rnacentral:rRNA from 1 species